AUUGAACGCUGGCGGCAUGCCUAACACAUGCAAGUCGAGCGCAGGAAAUCGACGGAACCCUUCGGGGGGAAGUCGACGGAAUGAGCGGCGGACGGGUGAGUAACACGUAAAGAACCUGCCCUCAGGUCUGGGAUAACCACGAGAAAUCGGGGCUAAUACCGGAUGGGUCAUCGGACCGCAUGGUCCGAGGAUGAAAGGCGCUUCGGCGUCGCCUGGGGAUGGCUUUGCGGUGCAUUAGCUAGUUGGUGGGGUAAUGGCCCACCAAGGCGACGAUGCAUAGCCGACCUGAGAGGGUGAUCGGCCACACUGGGACUGAGACACGGCCCAGACUCCUACGGGAGGCAGCAGUAGGGAAUCUUCCACAAUGGACGAAAGUCUGAUGGAGCAACGCCGCGUGAACGAUGAAGGCCUUCGGGUCGUAAAGUUCUGUUGUAAGGGAAGAACAAGUGCCGCAGGCAAUGGCGGCACCUUGACGGUACCUUGCGAGAAAGCCACGGCUAACUACGUGCCAGCAGCCGCGGUAA
rnacentral:rRNA from 1 species